GUGACAUUAUUGAUGAUUUUUAUGUUGUUAAGUGGUUAACGAUGUUAACGGUAGUUCCUAUUUACACCCAAAACUACUUCAGAACACCAUAAGUUUGAUCCAAAGUUAAAGGUAAGUCAACUGAAAUUUAUAAAACUUGUUAUCCAGCACAGUACUGAAUACGCCUCUCGAUCAUCGUCCAUCAUAUCGAAGCACAUAUAGUUCAUCAAACUCAAAACCAAACCCAAAUAUAAAAUUUAACAAACGGAAAAAAAAAAAAAAACUCAAUCAAUUAGUAAAUGUUUCUAUCUUUCUCGAUUAAUUGAACAUCAAGACUACCAAAUUCCUUUAAAAUCCUAAAUUUUCGUAUAAAGUCAGAUUAAACCAAAUGAUAGAUAACCUGAAACGAGAUGGUGUUUGGCGAAUUAUGGAGAUCGAUUCACGAACUCACCGCCGUGCCCGCCAUUAAUGGGAUAUUGAUGUUUGUGAUUUUGAAUGCGAGUAUUUGGGGUUACGGGGUUUCGCUCGUCUUUGCCGGAGAUUGUGAAGGUGGAGAUGAUGGUCAUUGACUGACAAUAGUUGGAUACAAUGAAAGAAGAAGAUGAAUAUGCUUGUUUGAGUAACUAGUUGUUGGAUAGCGCGCACGAUCUCUUAAGGUUGAAGUAUGGCGUGGCGACGCAAGUUCGAAGCAAGAACUGGACGAUUCCGACGCUGAGUUCGUUGAGGUUGAUCCGAAUAAUCGCUACGGUAGGGUGAACUCAGCUGAAACAUCUUCCUGCAAAAAUAUUCACGGAUGGCCUCGAUAACAGUGCCCUUCAAUGAGUUCGUGAGAUAUUUCGUAUUCUUCUUCUUCCUCCCCUUUUCUUUUCUUUUUUUUUUGUUAAUUUUUUUUUGUGUUAUUUUUUGUGUGUCUGAUUUUUUUUUUUAAUUUUUAAUAUUGCUAAUUUUGCAUUUUAUGGGGUAUUAUUUUUUGAGAGUCUGAUUUGAAUUUUGAUGAAGUUUUAAUUUUAUACUUUUUAGUGCUCUUUCAAAAAAAAAAAAAAACAUUCUGGGUAUGAUUUGAAUUUUUGUAAUGUUAUAAAAUUUGCGAUUUAUAUUUUGAAUUUUUGUAAUGUUACAAAAUUUGCAAUUUAUAUUUUGAAUUUUUGUAAUGUUAUAAAAUUUGCAAUUUACUCUUUUUUAAUCUCAUAAAUUGAAAAUAUGAUGGAAGAAUUUCCUUCAUAUUGAUAAAGAGUGUAGAUAAAUUAGGAUUUCAUGCAAUGCAGAUAUUUUGAAAUGAUUUCGGUUUAUUAUGGAAGCUGCUGAUUCCUCCUGCCAUUAGAAUUUUAGGAGUGGGAAUUUCGUUGGGUUUUCAUUUUUUGUUAUUGGACCUUAUUUAGAUUAUCUGAGUAUAUUGUAUUGAGUUUAUUUGAAACAUUAAUUUUGUGUUCUUAAAGGAAAUAGAUGUUUCCACGUUGCGUCUUUGAUAUACCACACUCACAAAACAUUAUUGUAGGGGGUUUUUUUGUGCUAAUACUUUUCUCCUACGAGAAAUGGCUUGGAGCUUUGUAUGUUUUUGGAUUUCGAAGGAGUCGCCACCAAACAAUUUUAAGGGUCCCGUUUGAAAAGACCAAAGUUGACUCUUUAGUGGAUAAGGCAUUGAAUCUUAGAAACGGAUGGGUGAGAUCCGGGCAAGGGAACGAGAUGCUUAUUCCGCGAGCCUUAAAAA